GACGAACGCUGGCGGCGUGCCUAAUACAUGCCAGUCGAACGAACCGCGACUAAGUGCUUGCACUAAGUCAAGGUGAGUGGCGAACGGGUGAGUAACACGUGGGUAACCUACCUCAUAGUGGGGGAUAACAGUCGGAAACGACUGCUAAUACCGCAUAGGACAUAGGAUCACAUGAUCCAGUGAGGAAAGGUGGCGCAAGCUAUCGCUAAGAGAUGGACCCGCGGUGCAUUAGCUAGUUGGUAGGGUAAAGGCCCACCAAGGCGAUGAUGCAUAGCCGACCUGAGAGGGUGAUCGGCCACAUUGGGACUGAGACACGGCCCAAACUCCUACGGGAGGCAGCAGUAGGGAAUCUUCCGCAAUGGACGCAAGUCUGACGGAGCAACGCCGCGUGAGUGAAGAAGGUCCUCGGAUCGUAAAGCUCUGUUGUUAGAGAAGAACAGCGCAUAGAGUAACUGCUAUGCGUGUGACGGUAUCUAACCAGAAAGCCACGGCUAACUACGUG
rnacentral:rRNA from 1 species